UGCUGGACCCAGCAGCACACUACUAAAGAUGGAACUGAGAGAAGAUGAGCAUGGCUCCUGUGCAGCGAUGGCGUGUGAAUUUAUAAAGCAUUCCAUAUCUGU